rnacentral:lncRNA from 1 species
AUGGUCAAAACAUAUUUGUAGACUGAACUAACUUAUGAUGCUUUUAUAUGAAGAAUCUUUAGAAACCUUUCCCGAAAUUACUAGGUUGAAAGCGAUAAGAUCAUGGGAAUGUUUUAUGGUGUAAUAUGAAGAUAAUGACUUUUUUUGUUUUUUUGGGUGAUCAGGGCAAAGAUCAUAAGGAAGUCUAGAGGAGAUCUCUUCCCAGAAGAGGUAGUUUGGAUACAACUUCCAUCAUAAUGGGUUCUCAUACUAGAGUGGUUCACUUAAAGUUUAUGUGUUCAUCAACUUUUUCCACUGCAGAAACUCUGCAAAUGGCUGACUCAGCUAUUACUGGCGGUAGAUUAUCUGCACUCCAACCGUGUUCUACACAGAGACGUGAAGGUAUAAAUAGGCCCUGAUUUAUUAAUGAGCUUUCCUUGUAUGACCUGUUUUAACAUGAAGUAUUUCGAUUUAUUUCAGUUAUCUAACAUUUUUGUCACAAAGCACAAUGACAUCCGACCAGGUAAGAAUGACAACCAAGUGCAUGAUAGCACCCUCCUUGUUUCUAUAUUAUAUGUGAAUCAAAUAUGUUUACUUUUUUUACACAUGUGAUUUUGGAUUCGCAAACCUUCUCGAUAGAUAUGGCCUUGCUUCCUCGGUACGAGUUCUCUGUAUAUUCAUGAAUUUUUUAUAUUUUUUUCGGUAAAGACAAUUUAAGUCGUAUUUUUUCCAUGAUCUAUUUUCGCUAUUACAUUUGAAUUAGUUGUGAACUUCUACUAUGUGAUUGGUAGAAAUUUAUAUUAAAGGAAGUUCACAACCUUAAAAUCCUAGAUACACCACUGACCAUAGUGCAAUCCAAAUUCAAGUUAAGGGUUGAUUCCUCCAAAAUCCUAGAAAGAAUCUAACUAGUAACUAGUCCCUCAUGUAGAUGGAAAUGGUGUUGUGUGUGGAAAUUCACUGUCAUUUCGGUAAUAUUCUGAUACAUUUCUCCUGAUUUUGCCUUCACUUUGUUCUUUUCCUUAAUCAUUGUGUGUCAAGAUUUGGCAAGUUUAUGAUGCUGUUAUAAUCAGGGAGAGAAUUUAUUAAUUCCAUCUUUUAUACUUGUGUUUCGCAGGCCUUUGUAUGAAAUAACGAUUUCAACACUUGACAAGCCCACGC